GAUGAACGCUGGCGGCGUGCCUAAUACAUGCAAGUCGAACGCGCAGCGAAAGGUGCUUGCACCUUUCAAGCGAGUGGCGAACGGGUGAGUAACACGUGGAUAACCUGCCUCAAGGCUGGGGAUAACAUUUGGGAACAGAUGCUAAUACCGAAUAAAACUUAGUAUCGCAUGAUACAAAGUUAAAAGGCGCUACGGCGUCACCUAGAGAUGGAUCAGCGGUGCAUUAGUUAGUUGGUGGGGUAAAGGCUUACCAAGACGAUGAUGCAUAGCCGAGUUGAGAGACUGAUCGGUCACAUUGGGACUGAGACACGGCCCAAACUCCUACGGGAGGCUGCAGUAGGGAAUCUUCCACAAUGGGCGCAAGCCUGAUGGAGCAACGCCGCGUGUGUGAUGAAGGCUUUCGGGUCGUAAAGCACUGUUGUAUGGGAAGAAAUGCUAAAAUAGGGAAUGAUUUUAGUUUGACGGUACCAUACCAGAGAGGGACGGCUAAAUACGUGCCAGCCGCCGCCGUAA
rnacentral:rRNA from 1 species